UUUCGCAAUGCCCGAAAGGGUGACGAAGCGACGCCGCGUGUGGGAAGAAGGCCUUCGGGUUGUAAACCACUGUCGGGAGUUAGGAAAUGCGGGUGCGUUAAUAGCGCACUUGCUUGACUAAGGCUCCAGAGGAAGCCAUGGCUAACUCUGUGCCAGCAGCCGCGGUAAUACAGAGGCGGCAAGCGUUGUUCGGAAUUAUUGGGCGUAAAGAGCACGUAGGCGGCCUUGCAAGUCAGUUGUGAAAGCCUUCCGCUUAACGGAAGAACGGCAUCUGAUACUACAGGGCUUGAGUACGGGAGGGGAGAGUGGAACUUCUGGUGGAGCGGUGAAAUGCGUAGAUAUCAGAAGGAACGCCGGCGGCGAAAGCGACUCUCUGGUCCGAAACUGACGCUGAGUGUGCGAAAGCUAGGGGAGCAAACGGGAUUAGAUACCCCGGUAGUCCUAGCCGUAAACGAUGGGCACUAAGUAGAGGGGUUUU
rnacentral:rRNA from 1 species